rnacentral:rRNA from 1 species
GACGAACGCUGGCGGCGUGCCUAAUACAUGCAAGUAGAACGCUGAAGAGAGGAGCUUGCUCUUCUUGGAUGAGUUGCGAACGGGUGAGUAACGCGUAGGUAACCUGCCUUGUAGCGGGGGAUAACUAUUGGAAACGAUAGCUAAUACCGCAUAACAAUGGAUGACACAUGUCAUUUAUUUGAAAGGGGCAAUUGCUCCACUACAAGAUGGACCUGCGUUGUAUUAGCUAGUAGGUGAGGUAAUGGCUCACCUAGGCGACGAUACAUAGCCGACCUGAGAGGGUGAUCGGCCACACUGGGACUGAGACACGGCCCAGACUCCUACGGGAGGCAGCAGUAGGGAAUCUUCGGCAAUGGGGGCAACCCUGACCGAGCAACGCCGCGUGAGUGAAGAAGGGUUUCGGAUCGUAAAGCUCUGUUGUAAGUCAAGAACGGGUGUGAGAGUGGAAAGUUCACACUGUGACGGUAGCUGACCAGAAAAGGACGGCUAACUACGUG